AAAAUGCAAAUAAGGAAACACACUCAAAAGCAAAAGAAACAAACACAACAAACAAACACAACACGCAAAAAAGCAGUAACAAAAAAAACACUUACUUUUGCCAAAGAGCUAAUGCGCGGCCCACAGAAGGGGGCGGCUGGCCGGCCAAUGGCGGCGGCACUGCCUCCAUCCUUCCACUCGUCUCACAUAUGGCCUCACAACAUUUCCAGCCUCUAAAAAAAAACUCUCAUCUCAAGUCUCU
rnacentral:lncRNA from 1 species